rnacentral:lncRNA from 1 species
AGAAUGCAGCGGCCGCCAGCCUGGAGCGCGGGCCCUGGGGCCGCAACCCGCGCCGGGCGAGGUGGCAGCACACCCUGGGCCCCCCACUCCCCGCCGCAAGUCCUGAGGAUGGCCAGCAGAGAAACAAGAAAAUGGACUCCCUGGCUGCUGGAGAGUUGAAUGCCAGCCACCAGCCAUGGGUGCCAGAGUUUGUAGCCUAUUGGAGGAAAACACACCAAGGUAAGACAACAAUAAGACCACAUCUUGUUUGGGACUGCCCAACGUAGCCUUGGAAACUGUCCAAGGAAGACCAGGGUGCUAAGUGUUGGCAGCUGGAUAAAGGGAAGGCCCAAGAGACUUUGCGUUGACUUCCUGGAUAGAGUGAGAGUCCUGGGGACAGUGAGGCAGCUCAGUAUAGUCAGUGAUGGCUGUGAGGUCUUUAGACUCAGGAAGACAGUGUUGCACUUGGGAAAAUGUAGCAGCCUCCCCCAAGCCAGUUGGUUGUGGGCCCACAGCAUGGCCCUCUUGCCCUCACUUCCCUA